rnacentral:rRNA from 1 species
CGCUGGCGGCGUGCUUAACACAUGCAAGUCGAACGGGAUCCAUCGGGCUUUGCUUGGUGGUGAGAGUGGCGAACGGGUGAGUAAUGCGUGACCGACCUGCCCCAUGCACCGGAAUAGCUCCUGGAAACGGGUGGUAAUGCCGGAUGCUCCAUCACACCGCAUGGUGUGUUGGGAAAGCCUUUGCGGCAUGGGAUGGGGUCGCGUCCUAUCAGCUUGAUGGCGGGGUAACGGCCCACCAUGGCUUCGACGGGUAGCCGGCCUGAGAGGGCGACCGGCCACAUUGGGACUGAGAUACGGCCCAGACUCCUACGGGAGGCAGCAGUGGGGAAUAUUGCACAAUGGGCGCAAGCCUGAUGCAGCGACGCCGCGUGAGGGAUGGAGGCCUUCGGGUUGUAAACCUCUUUUGUUAGGGAGCAAGGCAUUUUUUGUUGAGUGUACCUUUCGAAUAAGCACCGGCUAACUACGUGCCAGCAGCCGCGG